CGAGUAGGCGGUAGGGCAAGUCCGAGGUGGAAUCCUAUGGCUUAACCAUAGAAUUGCCUUGGAAACUGCUUUACUUGAGUCAGUGAGGGGAGGGCGGAAUUCCUGGUGUAGCGGUGAAAUGCGUAGAUAUCAGGAGGAAGGCCAGUGGCGAAGGCGGCCCUCUGGCACUGCACUGACGCUGAGGCGCGAAAGCGUGGGGAGCAAACAGGAUUAGAUACCCUGGUAGUCC
rnacentral:rRNA from 1 species